rnacentral:tRNA from 1 species
UUCCUCAUAGCUCAGUUGGUAAAGAAUCUGCCUGCAAUGCAGGAGACCUGGGUUUGAUUUCUGGGUGGGGAAG